CAAAUUAAAAUGAAACGCAUAUUUCACAAAAGAGUUUCAAUUUCAAUAUGCUAUUUUGUAUAUUUUACUUUCAGAUUUCAAUAAUUUCGUUUUCAUGUAUUUUAGUUGUCAUAUUCAAGAGGUGAGAAUUUAUUAACUACACCCAUUUGUUCUAUGGUAAUCUCAGAAAGACACAGAAACAACAAAAGAAGAUAUAAACCAUAAAUAGGUUGAAAACAAUAUUGGUAAUCUGUUAGAUCUUGAAAAAGAAAAAGAAAAAUCGUAACAAAGGAUAGCUUACAUGAUAAAAGAUUACAGAUCCGGUCAUAAACUCCAUGGAUGAACCGAAAGAUGACCGAAAAUUGUGUUUCUUGCGACAGAGAUACAACAUCAACUUAAAAAAAAAAAUUGAAAAACUGAACAAAUAGAAAGAAACUAGACGAUAAGAGUAAGAUAUUGACAGUGUUGGUAAUGGCCGUUUGAGGGUAGAUGGUGGUGGGGGGCGGCAACAAAUGGGGGAGGAAGUUAGGGUUUGUGUUAGUGAAGCUUGUGGAGAGAAAAGUUAAUAAUAAUAGGAGAGUGAUUAACCGAGAGUUAAGAAGAUUGAAAAUAAAAAUAGAGAGUAAUAAAUCAUACGGAUUCCAAACCAAAUCCAA
rnacentral:lncRNA from 1 species